rnacentral:misc_RNA from 1 species
AUGAAAUGCAAGGACGCUCUUUUUAGAGGUCCGACCUAUUCAUCCUUUCACCCUGUGCACAAAUUAUUUUUACAUCCAUUUUAAACACAUAAAGUUAUUGAAUGUCUAUAGUCUCUUGAUUGAGCAUAAACAAAAUA